GAGACCACAAUGGUGGGGUGAUGCAGGAUUAACCCAGGCCUUUGACAGAUUAGGCCAUGCCUGUCUGGGCAGAAAAUAGGUAGAUAGGUUAAGG